rnacentral:rRNA from 1 species
UACGGGAGGCAGCAGUGGGGAAUAUUGCACAAUGGGCGAAAGCCUGAUGCAGCGACGCCGCGUGAGGGAUGAAGGCCUUCGGGUUGUAAACCUCUUUCAGCAGGGACGAAGCGCAAGUGACGGUACCUGCAGAAGAAGCACCGGCCAACUACGUGCCAGCAGCCGCGGUAAUACGUAGGGUGCAAGCGUUGUCCGGAAUUAUUGGGCGUAAAGAGCUCGUAGGCGGUCUGUCGCGUCAGCUGUGAAAACCUGGGGCUCAACCCCGGGCUGCAGCCGAUACGGGCAGACUAGAAUUCGGUAGGGGAGACUGGAAUUCCUGGUGUAGCGGUGAAAUGCGCAGAUAUCAGGAGGAACACCGGUGGCGAAGGCGGGUCUCUGGGCCGAUAUUGACGCUGAGGGAGCGAAAGCGUGGGGAGCGAAACAGGGAUUAGGAUACCCGU